GACGAACGCUGGCGGCGUGCUUAACACAUGCAAGUCGAGCGGAAAGGCUCCUUCGGGGGUACUCGAGCGGCGAACGGGUGAGUAACACGUGAGUAAUCUGCCUUUGGCUUCGGGAUAGCCCUCCGAAAGGGGGAUUAAUACCGGAUAUGACCUGUCACUGCAUGGUGGUGGGUGGAAAGUUUUUCGGCCAGAGAUGUGCUCGCGGCCUAUCAGCUUGAUGGUGAGGUAAUGGCUCACCAUGGCUUCGACGGGUAGCCGGCCUGAGAGGGUGACCGGUCACACUGGGACUGAGACACGGCCCAGACUCCUACGGGAGGCAGCAGUGGGGAAUAUUGGACAAUGGGCGGAAGCCUGAUCCAGCAACGCCGCGUGAGGGAUGACUGCCUUCGGGUUGUAAACCUCUUUCAGUACCGACGAAGCGAAAGUGACGGUAGGUACAGAAGAAGCACCGGCCAACUACGUG
rnacentral:rRNA from 1 species